rnacentral:tRNA from 2 species
GCGCGAGUGUCGGAACUGGCAGACGAGAUGGAUUUAGGUUCCAUUGCCCGAUGGGCGUGGGGGUUCGAGUCCCCCCUCGCGCACCU